rnacentral:rRNA from 1 species
UACGUAGGGCGCAAGCGUUGUCCGGAAUUAUUGGGCGUAAAGAGCUCGUAGGUGGCUUGUUGCGUCUGCCGUGAAAGCCCGUGGCUUAACUACGGUCUGCGGUGGAUACGGGCAGGCUAGAGGCUGGUAGGGGCAAGCGGAAUUCCUGGUGUAGCGGUGAAAUGCGCAGAUAUCAGGAGGAACACCGGUGGCGAAGGCGGCUUGCUGGGCCUUACCUGACGCUGAGGAGCGAAAGCGUGGGGAGCGAACAGG